rnacentral:rRNA from 1 species
AGUGAACGCUGGCGGUAGGCCUAACACAUGCAAGUCGAACGGCAGCACAGUAAGAGCUUGCUCUUACGGGUGGCGAGUGGCGGACGGGUGAGGAAUACAUCGGAAUCUACUUUUUCGUGGGGGAUAACGUAGGGAAACUUACGCUAAUACCGCAUACGACCUACUGGUGAAAGCAGGGGAUCUUCUGACCUUGCGCGAUUGAAUGAGCCGAUGUCGGAUUAGCUAGUUGGCGGGGUAGAGGCCCACCAAGGCGACGAUCCGGAGCUGGCCUGAGAGGGUGAUCAGCCACCCUGGAAGUGAGACACGGUCCAGACUCCUACGGGAGGCAGCAGUGGGGAAUAUUGGACAAUGGGCGCAAGCCUGAUCCAGCCAUACCGCGUGGGUGAAGAAGGCCUUCGGGUUGUAAAGCCCUUUUGUUGGGAAAGAAAAGCAGCAGGUUAAUACCCCGCUGUUCUGACGGUACCCACAGAAUAAGCACCGGCUAACUUCGUG